CCACUGCUAAGGAGUCCCAGAAUAGGACGAAACGGACGUUCAGUGC
rfam:Schistosoma haematobium scaffold511_15, whole genome shotgun sequence.